UCCAUAGGUUAAUGAGGCGAACCGGGGGAACUGAAACAUCUAAGUACCCCGAGGAAAAGAAAUCAACCGAGAUUCCCCCAGUAGCGGCGAGCGAACGGGGAGGAGCCCAGAGCCUGAAUCAGCAUGUGUGUUAGUGGAAGCGUCUGGAAAGGCGCGCGAUACAGGGUGACAGCCCCGUACACAAAAGCGCAUGUGCUGUGAGCUCGAUGAGUAGGGCGGGACACGUGGUAUCCUGUCUGAAUAUGGGGGGACCAUCCUCCAAGGCUAAAUACUCCUGACUGACCGAUAGUGAACCAGUACCGUGAGGGAAAGGCGAAAAGAACCCCGGCGAGGGGAGUGAAAAAGAACCUGAAACCGUGUACGUACAAGCAGUGGGAGCACCCUUCGGGGUGUGACUGCGUACCUUUUGU
rnacentral:rRNA from 1 species